UUUUCCUUGGCUGGAGUCAGGACUAACAAGUCGUCUUCUCGCUUUCUCUCUCCUUUCGCCGGUCCACGAAGCGAUCCGUCAUUUAUUUCCAGAUCACCUGUACCAGCAUGCUUUUGCUCAGGGUUGCAUUAGCACAAUCACCAGUAAUUACAAGCGUGUGUACACUGGGAGAAUGAAGAUGGGGAAGGUGGGAGGUAGGACGUGAUUCCCCUUCGGAGCAAUCAGCACCGGGAAAGGUUUCAUUCCAUGCAAACGAUGAUGACAGAAGGAAAAAAAUGAAGAAGUGGAAACGGGCAAGUGCAUCGUGCUGGCUGGUGGGAGAGGGGCAGAAGGGUGCUUUCACCCUUAAACUACUGUGAGAAUUGGUGAGCACAAUCCAUGGGACAUGCUUUCAGAGGUGCAGGGGACACAGAGCCCUUCCUUGUACUAAGGCAGACAACAUUAGGACUUGUCUCCUGAAGUUCAGUCUGAAUUGUCACCACAAGACCACCGUCUUGACACUAACCUGUUCCAUUUUGCUCUACCCUAAAGGACCAUCCAGAAGCAAAAGUCAGAUAAGGAUGUUUGGCACCAUUUACUAACUACACUGUUACAAUAGCAGUUUAAGUAACUUUGUGCUCUCUGAAUUUGCUUUCACAUGCAAUCCCAGAUAUUCUCAGUAACUUGUAAAUCCUCGUGUUUUGGAGCCUCCCUUUGUCUUGCUCUGUUUGCUAGGCGGUACACACUCCAGCAGCCAAAGUUGUAUGGGAAGUGUGGUCUGAAUGGCAGAACAGGAGGUUCUCUGCAGAGGACACCCAGCUGUGAACAUUUCAAAAGUUUUUUUCAUCAGAACCUCUGUGUGUUGAUUUCUUUCUCUUUUCCUUGAGUAUACGUAGAGCAGAAAUAUGCAACUGGUUUUCAGUGACACACUGUUCAGGCUGUGAUAUAUGAAAUUUUAAAAUAGUUAACAGCAGUUCACUUGUAAGAGCAAGCCAUGAGAGCUCUUACACAUGUUAGUACAGAGGGUCAGCAUAACACUUCAUGGCAACGGGAGAGAGAAAAAUGUGGUUCUUUAUAGGACCCAGCUACAGUCACCAUGACUGAAAUACAAGUCCUAUGUGGAGGACAUGUAUUAAUGUUGUCAAUGAGGACAGUAACGAUGCACCAUAGCGUGGAACCAAAAGCACAUGAGCAAAGUUGCAAAGGAUACAAAAUUUCUCUUUCAGAGGAAAUAUCAGGAUUUCAAGAUUUAUUUUACUUCUGAAGCAGAAAAAAAUCAAAUCACUUUAAGUGACA